ensembl:lncRNA
AUGUAUUUCGCGGGGGACGACACAGGAGCUGUCCGCGAACCUAGGCUGGGGACCCAGAUUGUUGGUUGGAAGCCUCGCUCCCCUCGGGAAAGCGGCGCCAAGGGCCGGGAGCCGGACCUCUGGCCUCCAUCAGCCUCGCCUUGUCUCGGGGAUCUUUGGCGCUCCAGGGCGCAACCAGCCAGAUCCCUAGUUCUCCCUUUCCACAUCUUUUGGACACCGCCCUCGAUCUCUGGAAGAUUUCGCCCCCCAGGACCCUGGGCUUGGCCCGCGCAGAGGCUUCACUUCGGCAGAACGAAAAGCGAAACCCACCGCGGGUGGGCCGAGGGGGCGGCUGAACGCUCCGCGUGGCUGCUGCCCUGGAAAUCCGCAGCGGCCUCGAGGGCUGCCACCACGCGGCGCGAACCCGGACCUCAACUUCCUGCACAAGUCCGGCGCCCCCCAGCCCGCCGCAGCCAGGACCUGCCCUUCCACACCUGCGCUGAGCUCUCCGACUCUCCCGGGCCGGGGAACCCUUCCAAAGCUGGUCCCCAGCCACCCGGCCAAAUGCGCAGCGCGCCCUCCGCCUGUUCCUCAUUCCUCCGCUUCCAAGCAGAACGCGCCAAAGGGAGUUCGAGUGCUCUGCGACCCCAACUUCGGCUUCCCGAGGGACACGGCGCCCUCCCUGGAGCGCGGCCUCACCUCCGCCAGCCUCUAACCCGGGUCCUUUCAGCCGAGCCGCUGGAAGAUGAAAUGCUCGGCGAGGGGCGCUCCUCUGGAUUUUGGAAACCUGCCUCAUUCGCCUUGGGAGCGCCUCGAACCCACACCCUCCGGCCAGAUGACUUUCACCCUGGGACGUCCCUAGGUGCGGGGGAGGGCAGUGGGUUGGGAGCUGGAGCGGUCGUAGGAGAGGAGCCCGCGGCUCUGAGUUGCGGGCACUCAGCUGUUUGCCGCUCGUGGCUAGGGGCAGCUGGCCCUGUGGCUCCGUCGGGCCUGGGGAGCGGGCUUCUACGCCUCUGCCUCAGGCAGAUCACACACGCGCGCGCACUCACACACACACACUCACUCAGCGACGCCAGCGGCCCCAUGCCGCGAGCCGGGACGCGGAGGUCAGAGACACUGUCCACUUUACUGCAGGGGCUGAAACGGCCAGAUGGAGAUGGAAGCAGAGGCUCUCGCCUCUCCUCCGAGGUUUGCAACAUCCUAGAAGGCCCCCAAUUUCCCAUAGCCAGCAAGGUCUGGCUUCUGAGAUUCCGCUCCCCUGGGAGGCGGUUUAAACUGCAGGGGGCGGGGAUGGUAGAGGGAGCACUGAAGAUCGAGCCCGCGCCCCCCUUCGCCCUCCGCGCAGAGAACUGGCCCGCUCCACUCGCCUCUUGCCAACAGCCAGGCGUCCGGGGCCGGGAAGCCGGACCGCCGGGCGCUGCAGCUCCGGCAAGGGCAGGGAGGGGAGUGACAGCAGCAACCACUCCGCGCGUUGGCCAAGGCAUGGAAUCUCCGAAUAGGCUACGCCGUGAGCGCGGAGGGGUGGAGGCGAGAGAGGUGGAGGAGGAGUUGCGGGGCCGAGAGGGAUGA